rnacentral:sRNA from 1 species
GGAACAUAGUGUUUUUUCAUGACUGAUGUAGGCUAGCCCCGGGACACAGCUCCUGAGGUGGGGAAGCAUGGUCUGUGGCAGAGGACAAAGGUGCAGCUGGCUCGCUGUACCUGGGAUACAAGGAGGGUCACUGGGCUUUCAAACCUCUGAUCAACUGGGAACCAGUCUGCAUUUCACUGACCCACAUUAAUCCAAUAUUUAUGAGACUUUAUCAUAAAAGGCUGUAACCCUAUCAUUGAAGGUAAGAUACUCUCUAAUACCCACCUUAAUAUGUUUAGAAAAUCUGAUUGCAAUUUGACUGAAUGAUUACAUAAUUGUAAUAAGGGAUAAUAUUUUUUUCAAGAUUUGAAGUGUUUUAUAUGGAAUAAUGCUUUAGUUGUCAGCCAGUAUUUAAUUUGUUUCAGGGUUAUCUGAAUUUAGCUUGACUGUGAAGAGAAUGUGUUAAUCUUAGAGAGUAUUUUUGUUUUGUACCCAGCAUCAAUGUCAGGAGUAUUCAAACAUCCCUGUUGAAUUACUUAUGCGUAUGAUAUAUGUAGAACUUCAUGAAAAUCAGAAAAGAAAUGGUUGGCUACCUCCUAUUGUAUGGGUUUGCGGAAUAAACUAACUUCAUGAUACUUAGUGGGAAAGGAUUUAAUUGUUAAGGCAUCUUACUGUCCAUAAAAUACUUUAAGGACUUCUAUUCAAUUAUAUAAGUUGACACCUUAAAAAAAGGGAUAAAUGCAUGGCUAUCAAUUGACUUUAGUAAAUCCUGACUAAAUAUUUAUUUUACUAAUAUGGGCUAUGCAUGUUCCACCACCAUAUGAAAAAUUGUGGCUAAUUCCUUUCAGGACAAAACCAUUUUAAUGUAUUCUAUUGUGGAAAAUAUUAACUAGGUGCUAUUUAUACUAAUAUGGAAUAGAGAACUCCUAAUAUUUAUACAUAGUGUGUAAACAGUGAUUCUCACUUUCCUACAUUCAAAUAACAUUGAACAUUUUUUAAAAGUUUCUACUAUAAUAAAGACAUAAGUUUCUGUACAAUUUUUUAAAAAUAAAUGGAUUUGUUUCAUCAAAAAGUGUCUUUAUUAUACAAAUCUCCUAUCUUACUCUUAACAGUUUCCAAUAAAUUAGAAAUUAUCAUUUACUUUUGCAUUAGUCUUACAAAGGACUUUGAUUUAAUUCCCACUACCCACAUGCCUUAUUCUGUAUUACAUGUCCUUCUGUAGUUGAUAGUUGUUCAUAAACUUAUGUAAGGGUACAUACAUCAAGACAAUAUAAUAUAAAUGUUUUAAAGAUUCUUGAAAUACAUAUAUUUUUAGAGAGAAUCAAGAGAAAAUAUCUUCUCUAGAACACAUUAACACUAUAUUUUUCUUAUUAAAACUGUUUAUUUGAGAAUAUGUUAUCUACUAUAAAUUUUUGAUGUUUCAAAGAUAUAUGACAAGUUCUACUUUUGUCUUAAUAAAGAUAUUUUCAGUUAUUGUAUUCAUAUAAUGACUAACUUGGGAAACUGAUACAUAUUGUUACCAUAGUGUUCUAUUUUAGAACACUUCAGUAUUUCCUAUAUGGGUUCCAGUUAAUAAUCCAUUUGAAGAUCUUAUCCCUGAAGGAAAAACUCACUUGUCUCAUUAGAAAUUUCAUUUUCUGGGCAUGGACUGCAGUCAAAACAACAGGCUGGCAUUCCAUUCUUCCAGACUUUUCUAAAUCCAGGACCACAAUCGGCACUGCACACAGAGGUUGGCAUCUAAAGGAAAAAAGAGAUGUAUCGUGCUAGCAGGUGUUUGACAUACCCCUUCUGUAAUUGUGUUAAAUAGUUAGUGUUCAAUUACAUCAACUUAGUAUUCAAGUAUGUGUAAAGGCAUACAAAACCAGGAAAAUACAAGCUGAAAUAUCAGAAUACCAAAAUAAUGUCAACAAGUUUAGGACAACAAAUCUUAAGAAACUAAGUGGAAAUAGAAAAAAAAAACAAAACAAAACAGCUGCAUAUGAUCACCACUAUUGCAUUUUCGUGAGGAGAUGCUGAGUUCCUGUAUAGUGAGCUGGAAGAUGGAGGGUUUCCUAAGAGAGAAGUCUUUACAAAGCCGUGUCUUCAAGUAGCUUCUUGGAAUCUGUCCUCAGUUGGAUUUCAUUUGUAAAUUAAGACACCAAGAACCAAUAGCUGGGAAGGACCGAAAGAGUCUACUUUUAGCCUUCCCAGGGCUUGGAACCAAGAGAAGGAGGAAGGGAGAGGUCUGCCUGCUGGAUACUUGGAGUGCCAACAGAGGAGAGGCUGACUCCCAUAAGGUAAAAAAUACAAGGAAAGUGCCCCAGACUCUGUGCCAAGAAAACCUGCCCCAGAAUGCUGUCUGAUUGUAAUUAUGUGCAGCUAAAAAGGAAUAUAGAAUUAAUAAGUAAUAAGUAGGGAUUAACAGCAUGGAGGUAGGGCAGUGACCCAGCAUUUGUGCUCUUUAAUUCAUAAGAAAAUAUAAAGUCUAUAUGUGUGUUUCAUUGACUAACAUAAAUCAUUGAGGCAGGUAGCAAACCAGAUGCAGGAUUAAUUAAUACAUAUUACAAAACACAGGACCUGAUCCUUCAGUUGGGAUGUUGAAGUCUGUUGGAAGUUCUUAAUCAAGACUCAGGAAUGUCCACAAAAGAUAAAGGCAGGAAGACGAUGGUCUUAAAACCCAUACCCAAAGUGACACACCUACUCCAACAAGGCUACUAUUCCAAAUAGUGCCAAUACAUGGGUGAAGUAUAUACAAACCCUCACAUUCUGUGAGUGCAUAAAUAACAGAAAUUGGACUUUUAACCAUAAUUUUUUCUUGUUUUUCUUUUUUUUCCAAGCUGGGGACUGAACCCAGGGCCUUGUGCUUGCUAGGCAAGCACUCUCCCACUAAUCUCCAACCCCUUAACCAUAAUUUUUUUAAAAUAAAUAUUUGUACAGUGCUAUCAUGGAGAAGCAAAAUGAGACAAUUGGAAAUUUAAUAUGAUCAUGGUGCAUGAUAUGAAAUUUCGAAUGAAUCAAUAAAAAUUAUGUGAAAAAUAAACUAGACUCUUUUUUUAUGAUUUUUGAGUACAGGUGACCACAAACAUUCAAACAUCACUAAAAAUAUUCUGUAUAUUAUAUUUUAGUUGUUAUUUCAAAAGUGUUAGUUGUUAUUUUCGAAAGUGUUUUUCCUGUCACUCGAGUGGUGUUUAUACAUUAUUUUGAUCUCUUGUGUUCAUCUUAGUAUUAAAUAUGAUAGAGUUCUUAUAAUGACUUUCAUAGUGCUCAUUGUUGAGUUAUGGUUUUUGUAAUUGUGUUCAUCCUGAAAAUUUUGUUGUCUCCUUUUAUUAUAAGUAAUAAAUUCACUGGUUAUAGUAACUGAGUUGGCAGUUACAUCUCUAAAUGUUUUAAAUAUAUAUUUUUAAAUUCUCCUCCUUUAAAAAUAUAAAUGGUAUGCUACAUCGAACAAAACUUAGGAAGAUAAGUAACAAAGAUAGAACAAGGUGGGACACAUAUAUCUCCCUGAGAAGGGGAAAUAACGUAGACAUGGAGGGUGAGUGGGUUUGGUGACUGAAUGGGAGUGUGAUGGGAUGAGAAAAGAAGGGGUAGACUAAUAAACAGGUUGUUUGAAGAGAGCACUAAAAUGGGAGUGGCAACUCUGAGUCAUGCUAGAAUAUUAAAGCAAUAGAAACUCCCAGAAAUUUAUGAGGAUAACUAUGGGUAACCUUCCUUGAAAAAUGGGGUAUGGAGUCUGUAAUGGCCAUCUCCAAAAACCAAGAAGAUUUUCAGUGUUGGGAUUGAGACAAUACGCUAAACACAAAUCCAUAACCUACAAUUUACCCUGCCUAAUCAUGUGCAGGAAUAAAGAUAUAGCAGAGGAUGAGGAGAUAACUAACCAAUGACUGGCAUAGCUUGCAAAUGUUGCCAAGAGAGAAAGCUCACCCCUGAUGCUGGUUAAAAAAAUUCUGAAAUAUUUGCAUGCAAGAAUCUAGCAAAUCAUCAUAUGAGAGAAUUCAACAAGCCAGUGAUGAAACCAUUUCAGAAAUCAAUGCCCCCAAAUAGGCAAAGUUUGGGGAAUCUUGGAUAAGAGGACAAAGAACUGUAAGAGCAAGAGGGAUCAAGGAUACAAGAAAUCCUACAUAUCAACUGACCUGGAACCCAAAGUCACAAGAGUCUGAACCACAUACCACAAAAAUUCACAGGACUAAACUACAUCCUCUAAACAUGUGUAAACUUGUGAAGCUUGGUCAUUACAUGGGGGCACCUAAAAGCAGUAGCAGGUCCUGUGUCUGAUUUUGUUUUCUGCCCUUGUGAUUUUUUUC